rnacentral:rRNA from 1 species
UGGCGACCGGCGCACGGGUGCGUAACGCGUAUGCAACCUACCCAUAACAGGGGGAUGACACUGAGAAAUUGGUACUAAUACCCCAUAACAUCAGGACCGGCAUCGGUUCUGGUUGAAAACUCCGGUGGUUAUGGAUGGGCAUGCGUUGUAUUAGCUGGUUGGUGAGGUAACGGCUCACCAAGGCAACGAUACAUAGGGGGACUGAGAGGUUAACCCCCCACAUUGGUACUGAGACACGGACCAA